AUGACACCCCCCUCUCCUCCCUUCGAGCGCUGAACCCCUUUUCAAAGUAAGAGUCUUUUUAGGGGAGAAAUGCAGACAAAUAUCCCCGGCGAAAUGAAGCAGCGUUGACCUCUCUGAAGCAGUGGACUGCAGAGAAACUCAAAGGCCUUGUGGAGAUCUCUCAAGGUUUGAGCUCUCUGUGAUAGCAGUAGGGAUGGAAUUGGAGGUAUAGCUGGGUGUCAAACAGGAGGUCUGCAGAUGCCGGUCCAGCUGAGAGCUGCGAGGUCCCUCCCUUUGACAGAGUAUCCAUUCAGAGUCAAUGAGCUGGGUCAAAGCCUGCACGUCAGGCUGCAGCUCGGCCUAGCACUGGGGCGGUCCAAGAGGAGCAAGGUCACAUAUACAAAGAAGGUGCAAGGAGGCCGGAGGCUUGAGGCUGGAGGCUGGGCCCGUGGCGUCCGAUGACAGAGGACGACCGCUGGACGCCGUGACUCUCCUCCAGGGAGGCGACUGUUUAAAGAGAGGCCAGGGAGGGACGGGCGGAGGGGUUUGAACUUGAUGACACCCCUACUGCACCUGCAGCUUUGAUUAUCAUCAGCUUAUUUUUUCACUAAAGUGCAAUAACUCUUUAACAUUUUAUUGGCUUCUACUGUUGUUAUAGCAUGCACCUAAUGCA